GGCAGCGUCGGGCAGGUAAGAGGGCAACACCAUUCGAGCGCGAGCCCCUAAGCCCCAUAUUUCCUGAGCCGGAGGAGGUGCCGCUUCUGUUGGCACUACCUCCAUCAUCCUGUGACAGACUUUUCCAGGCCUCUCCCCCAAGGGAACAGCGUGCAGGGAAAAGCACCAACCAGCCUGUCAUAACCCUGACCAGGAUAAGAAAGUGCAGAAAGUGGCAGCAUGGAUGAGCCGACAUCAUCUGGUGUCCGUGAAUUCAGAGGGAAGGAGGCGGAGUUCAUCUGGUGUAAUAAAAGUAAGCUUGGAGGAAAAUGUGACAGAUGUGGAGGCCUGUGCCAGCGAGAAAAGCGAGAGUAGGACUGUCAGACAUGUCGACUCCGGCGUAGUGAUGGAUGGAGAGUGAGGUA